rnacentral:tRNA from 1 species
ACACUGAUGGUGAAACGGUAUCAUGCUUGCCUUCCAUCGUUGUCGACGGGUGUGAUAGCAAGCGGCGCGGGUUCGACUCCCGCUCAGUGUA